CCUACGGGUGGCAUCAGUGGGGAAUAUUGGACAAUGGGGGGAACCCUGAUCCAGCCAUGCCGCGUGUGUGAAGAAGGCCCUCGGGUUGUAAAGCACUUUCAGUGAGGAAGAACGCCUGGUGGUUAAUACCCAUCAGGAAAGACAUCACUCACAGAAGAAGCACCGGCUAACUCCGUGCCAGCAGCCGCGGUAAUACGGAGGGUGCGAGCGUUAAUCGGAAUUACUGGGCGUAAAGCGCGCGUAGGUGGCUUGAUAAGCCGGUUGUGAAAGCCCCGGGCUCAACCUGGGAACGGCAUCCGGAACUGUCAAGCUAGAGUGCAGGAGAGGAAGGUAGAAUUCCCGGUGUAGCGGUGAAAUGCGUAGAGAUCGGGAGGAAUACCAGUGGCGAAGGCGGCCUUCUGGACUGACACUGACACUGAGGUGCGAAAGCGUGGGUAGCAAACAGGAUUAGAUACCCCAGUAGUC
rnacentral:rRNA from 1 species